GUUGGCCUAUGAUGAAUGAAAGUUUUGCCUACAUUGUCUAAUUGUUUACCAUGAAGAGAAAACUAGUGAUUUCUGAGGCUUUU